AACGAACGCUGGCGGCGCGCCUAAUACAUGCAAGUCGAGCGAGAAGGUGUAGCAAUACACUUGUAAAGCGGCGAACGGGUGAGGAAUACAUGGGUAACCUACCCUCGAGUGGGGAAUAACUAGCCGAAAGGUUAGCUAAUACCGCGUACGCUUCCGGGACUGCGGUUCCGGAAGGAAAGCGAUACUGUGAGUAUCGCGCUCUUGGAUCGGGCUCAUGUCCUAUCAGCUUGUUGGNGAGGUAACGGCUCACCAAGGCUUCGACGGGUAGCUGGUCUGAGAGGACGAUCAGCCACACUGGCACUGCGACACGGGCCAGACUCCGUACGGGAGGCAGCAGGUAACGGAAUAUUGCGCAAUGGACGACAGUCUGACGCAGCGACGCCGCGUGGGGGACGAAGGUCUUCGGAUUGUAAACCCCUUUCGGGAGGG
rnacentral:rRNA from 1 species